GCUGGAGCUGCAGACCAUCUUAGCCCUGCGACUCCUAAUGCUGUGGCAUCCCAGCAACCUAAUUAGUGUGUACUAGAAGGUAAAAUCUGAAGCUCUGAGUUCAACAGAGGGACAUUGCAGAAUCAAUGCAGGUGGAAGCCUGCUUCCAGAGCUGAAGAGUUUUCAGUGCUGGGACUGCUCCAGAUAUAUGGUAAAACUGAAGUAGGACACAGAGGCCUUCCCUUGACCACUGAACUGGAAGUCUUCAUAGACAGGACAAUAUCCGGAAGAGAGAAAGUCACAGUCAUUGCAUUACCAGUGAGAAGCUGAAGCUUACCCAUUAUGGCAAGUUUUGCAAAGUUCUUGAGGCACACGGUUCUCCUUGACCUUCUCAUGACUUGCCAGGAUCACCUAGGAAGUUCGUGACAGUGCUUUGGAGUGAGUCCAGCUCGAAAUCCCAGUACAGUGAUUCAUUUGUAAGUGUUCUGUGAAAUACCUGUAUCUCAAAAGUAGCACAUCAUCUACAGCCAAGUACUGAGAGGAAGGUUACGGCUUAGGAUGCUCUCUUAUGACCCCAGGGAGUUUGAUGCCUCAGAACAGGGAGAAGAAAAC
rnacentral:lncRNA from 1 species